ACCCGGAGCUGCUGCUCCGGGUACCAAAGAGGCUCCUAGUUCAGGAGGCGGAGCUGGUAAAUUUGCCCCAGAGGGAGAAGUAAAUCUACCGUGAGGGGAGUGAACCUUUUGUACUGAACAGGGAACACCCAGCUAGACAGCUCCUUCGCUGAGGGACAAUGGGGAGACCCUGGCAGCUGUUCCCACGCCUGCUGCUACUGGUGGUGAACAUUCCCUGGGGGAGCUGCCAGGCCGAGGUGCACCAGAACCUGUCUGCGGUCACUUGGGAAGGGCAGAACGGCAGCAUCUCUUGCCACUACACGACGAGCAAUUUCGGGGGUUUGCAGUGGUUCAGGCAGCUUCCCGGAGGCCAGCCUGUCUCCCUGCUGAUUCUGGUGUCCGAUGGGAAACAAACCAAGGAGCCCAACCUCACCGCGGAGCUGGACAAGGGGAAGCGGCUGAGCUCGCUGCACAUCCGAGAAUCACAGCUGGGAGACGCAGCCACCUACUUCUGCGCCGUGGCGACACGGUGACACAGGAGCACUGGCAGCCUGUGCAAAAACUCCCCAGCUGGAGGGUAACUGUCAGGCUGGCUGGC